AGCAAAAUAUUUAAAUCCUAAGACUAGUCGAAUCCACAUCAAACACUCCUGAGCUUGCGCAACACCGUAUUCUUACCCUCCCCGCCACGCUAAAACCCCUAAUCCCAGCACAAAAACCCUUUCAGCCCGCAUUUCUAAUCCUCAGUCCUUUCCCUCAGCUCCCGCUGCAGAGUGCAAACACACCGAAACUUAACAAAAAUAUCAGUAAUGGCUGCUGCUUGGCGUGGCUCCAUUUCCAGAUCACUCCUCUCCACCGCGAGAGCCUCCACCUUCCGAUCAGCUCCAGCUGUGCCCCGCGUCCGUCCUCCAACUCUUUCCUCCCUUCGUCUCCGUCCUCGUCGCCUCUCCUUCGCCCAUCUAGGUUUAUCGCCUCGUCUCCUUCUGGGCUCCAUUUUCUAAAUCAUCUUGUCCUGCAAAAACCUUGAAAGAAUUUUUUUAAAUACUUUUCCAAAUCAUUAACUGUGGUUUUUUUUUUUAAUCUCUAUCGUACCGUAUGAAUGGUUAGGACAACGGGCGAGCUGGGAUGCGC
rnacentral:lncRNA from 1 species